rnacentral:tRNA from 1 species
GCGGAGAUGGAGCAAAAGUGGCUCGGAAGGUUCAUGCCCUUCAAACCAGUGAGUGCAACUCUCACCUCCGCCACCA